AGCUUCCGGGCACACAACUAGAACUGUACUCUACAGAUGAGCACACGUCACACAGAGCCAAGAGCAGGAAAAAAACUGUCAUGCUUCAGCCAACAGCUGCCAGAGAGGCCUCACCUCAGCUGAAGUCACUUAACUUGACCCCUUGACUGUCCACAUGUCUCUUUUGUGAUGGACGAGUUUCGGGUACAGCGUGGUGACACCCCAGCUAGCCGUCCCAGAUGUGCAGAGACCGGCUCGUAGGACAGCUGCUCCCUCCAAGCUGUAUCCCCCCCACUCCCCUUUUUUUCUGAAUGCACACGCCUCCUAUAAUACAUGCAGAUGGAGCCUCGGGCCUGUAGCCACGGUAACCGUCUCUUAAGUGGGCCGCAGAAGUCCCUGAUGCGCUUGUGAGCUGACCCUCAUUCACACCAAGAGGAGCGGGGAAGCCAAAUAGUGCCUUACGCGACUCAUUACAGGGCUGGAGCGACAAGAGACCACCUCCAUUAAAACCUCAUCGGGAGCCCAUUAAACAGCAGUACAUCCAGAUGUGGUUCACACAGACGCCACCAAUCAACUCACGUAAACACGCCGCUCCUUAAUGGCUGAUUAAGACCCAACAGCAACACCCACAGUACAUUUAAAACACGCCGUCUAAAACAUUCAUCCGACAUGAAGCCGUGUAGUUAAGCCACGGUGUAAAAACAUAAUAAACACAGAGAUUGUGCU